UUAAGAAAGCAAAGAAUGAAAAUAGCCCUGAUACCCUAAGAAGCAAAUCUCAUGCACCAUGGGAAGAAAAUGGCCCCCAGAGUGGACUCUACAAUUCUCCCAGUGACCGCACUAAGUCACCAAAGUUCCCUUACACGCGUCGCCGAAACCCCUCCUGUGGAAGUGACAAUGACUCUGUACAGCCUGUGAGGAGGAGGAAAGCCCAUAACAGUGGUGAAGAUUCAGAUCUUAAGCAAAGGAGGAGGUCACGUUCACGCUGUAACACCAGCAGUGGUAGUGAAUCAGAAAAUUCUAAUAGAGAACACCGGAAAAAGAGAAACAGAAUACGGCAGGAAAAUGAUAUGGUUGAUUCAGCGCCUCAGUGGGAAGCUGUAUUAAGGAGACAAAAGGAAAAAAACCAAGCCGACCCCAACAACAGGCGAUCCAGACACAGAUCUCGUUCGAGAAGCCCUGAUAUCCAAGCAAAAGAAGAGUUAUGGAAGCACAUUCAAAAGGAACUUGUGGAUCCAUCCGGAUUGUCCGAAGAACAAUUAAAAGAGAUUCCGUACACUAAAAUAGAGUGAGUGCCUUUGAAAAUCUUCUCACGAAAGCUUUAUUAGUGCUUGUGAGUAAUCCAUUCUAAUUCUUCAAUUGUGUUCCAGGCAGUGCUUUGUCUUUACAUUUUAACCAAAACUAGGUGGAAAAAGUGUGCAUUAAAGCUACUUAUUCUACACUAUAAUCACUAUCAUCUCUUAUUAGCCACCUCUUUGUACUUGGUAGGUACAAAGGGGCUUUUCCUGAUUAAUGUCAGUUUUAAAUUUUUUUCUGAGAUUCUCAUUGAUAAA
rnacentral:sRNA from 1 species